rnacentral:rRNA from 1 species
GAUGAACGCUGGCGGCGUGCCUAAUACAUGCAAGUCGAGCGAACAGACGAGGAGCUUGCUCCUCUGACGUUAGCGGCGGACGGGUGAGUAACACGUGGAUAACCUACUUAUAAGACUGGGAUAACUUCGGGAAACCGGAGCUAAUACCGGAUAAUAUAUUGAACCGCAUGGUUCAAUAGUGAAAGACGGUUUUGCUGUCACUUAUAGAUGGAUCCGCGCCGCAUUAGCUAGUUGGUAAGGUAACGGCUUACCAAGGCAACGAUGCGUAGCCGACCUGAGAGGGUGAUCGGCCACACUGGAACUGAGACACGGUCCAGACUCCUACGGGAGGCAGCAGUAGGGAAUCUUCCGCAAUGGGCGAAAGCCUGACGGAGCAACGCCGCGUGAGUGAUGAAGGUCUUCGGAUCGUAAAGCUCUGUUAUUAGGGAAGAACAAAUGUGUAAGUAACUAUGCACGUCUUGACGGUACCUAAUCAGAAAGCCACGGCUAACUACGAG